rnacentral:rRNA from 1 species
ACCCGCUGAACUUAAGCAUAUCAAUAAGCGGAGGAAAAGAAACCAACCGGGAUUGCCCUAGUAACGGCGAGUGAAGCGGCAACAGCUCAAAUUUGAAAUCGGGCAUUUAUGCUUGAGUUGUAAUUUGCAGAGGGAGCUUUGGUUCUGGCAGCGGUCUAAGUUCCUUGGAACAGGACGUCACAGAGGGUGAGAAUCCCGUACGUGGGCGCUGGCCUUUACCGUGUAAAGCCCCUUCGAUGAGUCGAGUUGUUUGGGAAUGCAGCUCUAAAUGGGAGGUAAAUUUCUUCUAAAGCUAAAUACUGGCCAGAGACCGAUAGCGCACAAGUAGAGUGAUCGAAAGAUGAAAAGUACUUUGGAAAGAGAGUCAAAUAGCACGUGAAAUUGUUGAAAGGGAAGCGCUUGCAGCCAGACUUGCCCGUAGUUGCUUAUCCGGGCUUUUGCCUGGUGCACUCUUCUGCGGGCAGGCCAGCAUCAGUUUGGGCGGUUGGAUAAAGGUCUCUGUCAUGUACCUCUUUUCGGAGAGGCCUUAUAGGGGAGACGACAUGCAACCAGCCCAGACUGAGGUCCGCGCAUUUGCUAGGAUGCUGGCGUAAUGGUGGU